rnacentral:rRNA from 1 species
AUUGAACGCUGGCGGCAUGCCUUACACAUGCAAGUCGAACGGUAACGCGGGGCAACCUGGCGACGAGUGGCGAACGGGUGAGUAAUGCAUCGGAACGUGCCCAACAGUGGGGGAUAGCCCGGCGAAAGCCGGAUUAAUACCGCAUACGACCUGAGGGUGAAAGCGGGGGACCGUAAGGCCUCGCGCUGAUGGAGCGGCCGAUGUCGGAUUAGCUAGUUGGUGGGGUAAAGGCUUACCAAGGCAACGAUCCGUAGCUGGUCUGAGAGGACGACCAGCCACACUGGGACUGAGACACGGCCCAGACUCCUACGGGAGGCAGCAGUGGGGAAUUUUGGACAAUGGGCGAAAGCCUGAUCCAGCCAUGCCGCGUGCGGGAAGAAGGCCUUCGGGUUGUAAACCGCUUUUGUCAGGGAAGAAACGGUCUGAACUAAUACUUUGGACUAAUGACGGUACCUGAAGAAUAAGCACCGGCUAACUACGUGCCAGCCGCCGCAGUAACAC